rnacentral:rRNA from 1 species
UAAGCAUAUCAAUAAGCGGAGGAAAAGAAACCAACAGGGAUUGCCCUAGUAACGGCGAGUGAAGCGGCAACAGCUCAAAUUUGAAAUCUGGCGCCAGCCCGAGUUGUAAUUUGUAGAGGAUGCUUCUGGGUAGCGGCCGGUCUAAGUUCCUUGGAACAGGACGUCAUAGAGGGUGAGAAUCCCGUAUGUGACUAGCUUGCACCCUCCACGUAGCUCCUUCGACGAGUCGAGUUGUUUGGGAAUGCAGCUCUAAAUGGGAGGUAAAUUUCUUCUAAAGCUAAAUACCGGCCAGAGACCGAUAGCGCACAAGUAGAGUGAUCGAAAGAUGAAAAGCACUUUGGAAAGAGAGUUAAAAAGCACGUGAAAUUGUUGAAAGGGAAGCGCCCGCAACUAGACUUUGCGGCUGUGUUCGGCCGGUCUUCUGACCGGUUUACUCGCGGUCGUGAGGCCAUCGUCGUCUGGGACCGCUGGAGAAGACCUUAGGAAUGUGGCUCCCCUCGGGGAGUGUUAUAGCCUCUGGUGAUGCAGCGCGUCUCGGGCGAGGUCCGCGCUUCAGCAAGGACGAUGGCGUAAUGGUUGUCGGCGGCCCGUCUUGAAACACGGACCAAGGAGUCUAACAUCUAUGCGAGUGUUCGGGUGUUAAACCCCUACGCGUAAUGAAAGUGAACGGAGGUGGGAGCUCUUUGUGCACCAUCGACCGAUCCUGAUGUCCUCGGAUGGAUUUGAGUAAGAGCAUAGCUGUUGGGACCCGAAAGAUGGUGAACUAUGCCUGAAUAGGGUGAAGCCAGAGGAAACUCUGGUGGAGGCUCGCAGCGGUUCUGACGUGCAAAUCGAUCGUCAAAUUUGGGUAUAGGGGCGAAAGACUAAUCGAACCAU